rnacentral:rRNA from 1 species
AGCCCUUGGUCCUAUUUUAAUAUUUAUCAAGGGUGUGACCUGCCCGGUGAGGUUUAAUCUUAAACGGNUGCAGUAUCCUGNCUGUNNUAAGGUAGCAUAAUCAUUUGGCCUUUAAUUGGGGUCUGGAAUGAAAGGUUUCACGGGGAGAGACUGUCUCUUUACUAAUAAUUAGAAUUUAACUUAGGGGUGCAGAGGCCCCUAUUAUCUAAAAGGACGAGAAGACCCCAUAGAUCUCCGAGAUCACCUUUAAAGUGCGAAGGAAAUGCUGGUUUUUUUGGUUGGGGCGACUAAGGAACAAACCAAACUUCCUUUAUAUUAACCUGCUUGUAAGUGGAACCAAAAGUGUUGAAAAANGACUGAUUGAUUAGAAGUUACCUUGGGGAUAACAGCAUAAUACUUAUCUAGAGACCAUAUCAAAAUAAGUGCUUAUGACCUCGAUGUUGGANUAGGANUUC